GAUGAACGCUGGCGGCGUGCCUAAUACAUGCAAGUCGAGCGAACAGACGAGGAGCUUGCUCCUCUGACGUUAGCGGCGGACGGGUGAGUAACACGUGGAUAACCUACCUAUAAGACUGGGAUAACUUCGGGAAACCGGAGCUAAUACCGGAUAAUAUAUUGAACCGCAUGGUUCAAUAGUGAAAGACGGUUUUGCUGUCACUUAUAGAUGGAUCCGCGCCGCAUUAGCUAGUUGGUAAGGUAACGGCUUACCAAGGCAACGAUGCGUAGCCGACCUGAGAGGGGGACCGGCCCAACUGGAACGGGGACACGGUCCAGCCUCCUACGGGGGGCAGCAGUGGGGAAUCUUCCGCAAGGGGCGAAAGCCUGACGGAGCAACGCCGGGGGGGUGAUGAAGGUCUUCGGAUCGUAAAACUCUUUUAUUGGGGAAAAAAAAAUGUGUAAGUAACUAUGCACGUUUUGACGGUACCUAAUCAGAAAGCCACGGCUAACUACGU
rnacentral:rRNA from 1 species